UACGUAGGGAGCAAGCGUUGUCCGGAAUCAUUGGGCGUAAAGCGCGCGUAGGCGGCCUCGUAAGUCCGUUGUGAAAGUCAAAGGCUCAACCUUUGAAAGCCGAUGGAUACUGUGAGGCUAGAGUCCGGAAGAGGCGAGUGGAAUUCCUGGUGUAGCGGUGGAAUGCGCAGAUAUUGGGAAGAACACCGGUGGCGAAGGCGGCUAUCUGGCCCGUAAUUGACGCUGAGGCGCGAAAGCGUGGGGAGCAAACAGG
rnacentral:rRNA from 1 species